GACGAACGCUGGCGGCGUGCUUAACACAUGCAAGUCGAGCGGUAAGGCUCCUUCGGGAGUACACGAGCGGCGAACGGGUGAGUAACACGUGAGUAAUCUGCCCUUCACUUCGGGAUAACCACCGGAAACGGUGGCUAAUACCGAAUACGACCAGCCUUCGCAUGAGGUGCUGGUGGAAAGUUUUUUCGGUGAAGGAUGUGCUCGCGGCCUAUCAGCUUGUUGGUGAGGUAACGGCUCACCAAGGCUUCGACGGGUAGCCGGCCUGAGAGGGUGACCGGCCACACUGGGACUGAGACACGGCCCAGACUCCUACGGGAGGCAGCAGUGGGGAAUAUUGGACAAUGGGCGAAAGCCUGAUCCAGCAACGCCGCGUGAGGGAUGACGGCCUUCGGGUUGUAAACCUCUUUCAGUAUCGACGAAGCGCCCUGUCGGGUGGUGACGGUAGAUACAGAAGAAGGACCGGCCAACUACGUG
rnacentral:rRNA from 1 species